rnacentral:rRNA from 1 species
UACAUAACCUCAGUGGGGUAGGAUUACCCGCUAGACUUAAGCAUAUUAAUCAGCGGAGGAAAAGAAACUAACAAGGAUUCCCCUAGUAACUGCGAGUGAAGAGGGAAUAGCUCAACGUGUGAAUCUGUCCGGGAGUAACCCCUGGUUCAGAGUUGUGCACUGUAGACGUCGGUUUCUGCGCUUGAAUUCCAGUUGUCAGUCCCAAGUCGGAUGAAACACCGCACCACAGAAGGUCAUAGCCCUGUGUCUGACUGUGCUUGAAUUUGCGCCAAUGACCGCACGUUCGUCGAGUCGCGUAGUUUUGUAAUGCUGCGCCAAUUGGGAGGUGGAACCCUUCUAAAGCUAAAUAUCAUGACGUGACCGAUAGCAAACAAGUACCGCGAGGGAAAGGUGAAAAGCAACCAUGUAGAAUGCGUUGAAACAGCAGUGAAAGUGCUACUGGGAUAAGGGCUAUUGAGUGCUAGUCUUUUGGUAGCGUGCUUUAGUGCUGCUCCAGGAGCGGCCUGCGUUGAUUGGAACUGGGAGACAUGCUCGGGGUUGAAUUCGGCCAAUGGCUUGCCACUGGUGUUGUAGCUCCCGAAAAGUUGAGCCCAGAACCAAUCAAAGAUGCUUUACGGCGUGCAGGUCUGCGAUCAU